rnacentral:lncRNA from 1 species
GAUUUUGGUUAGCUACAUGGGCCUAGCCCAACUUUUUAGCCUUUUUUGUUCUCGGGGUUGUGGGCUUUUAACAUUGUUUGGGCCAUUAUAUCUGGUCCCAUCAAUAAGAUAGGUCCCACUUGUCAUAGUCUCACAUAUUGGGCCCACAUGAUAGAAAUUUCAAAACUGCUCAAAUUAUUUUCAUAACUGGGUCCCAUUAGCCAGGUUCCAAUUCACACGUUUCCAACUCACAUAAUCAAUAUUUCUAACAGAACAAAAAUGGUAAAUAAGCCUACUACAAAUUGUACAUAUCUAAUCCAACCCAGAUAUGCCUACCAUUACAAUAUUACAAUCUUUACAUUCUAUUUAGUACGCCUCGAGCUACUGUAAAGGAGUGAACACAAUGUAUAUUCUCAGAGUUCCCUAUAUAGGUGGAAACCAAGAAGCAGAUCGAGUUCCUCCUAAUAUAUAUUAAUAUAUUACUACCUCCCUAAUUCCGAAAUCAUUCCAUUUUUCUAUGACUUGGCCAUGAAACCAAACUGAUCCAACACAGCAACUGCAUCGGAUGUCACCUCUGCACCCCUGAAACAAAGAUGCACAACAUAAUCAUAUAAGCAAAAGCAGCAGCAAGAGGAAACUAUAUACUACUAUAAAACAAGGAAAUGAUAGAAAGGGAUUCCUUUUAUUUGCAGAUUGUGCAUUUUGUUUCACAAAGUAAAUAGUUCCUGAAUUCCAGAUUCUAUAAUAAAACAAGGUAUCCACCUAAUUUUUAUGAGGGCCUUAAUCUAUCACACCCCCAUUUCUUCUUUUAGUCUAUAGACCCUCUUCUUUGAAAAUCCUUUGCAUCUAUACAGAAAAUAAUAGUAUCGAAAGAGAUUCAGAUUAGUGAGCAACUUGAAAGGUAGCAAGUUGACAAGAUAAAAAGGGAUGGAUGGAUUAUUGACUGGAUGAGAUGACCCCAUCUAAUGGUGCGGAAUACUUGACUAAUAAUAUAUGGCAAGGCAAGACUACCCAUAUAUAGCUUUGAGAGUGAAAGUUCCUUGCACGCGACAAACUUAAGAAGUAGAAUCACUAUGAGGAAAUUAUAAGGUUGAAACUUGAGAUAAGAAUGCUCUAGAAAAUACAACAGCCAAGUAAAAGUGCACAAAAUAGGGAGUCAAUUUAUAUAUAUAUGUACCUAAGCAGGUUGCAAAAAAAGCAAAUUUUGGGUUGUUGGGUCCCCAGAUAAUUUGAUCUAUCUUCUAAUCAUGCACAAAACAGGGAGAAAACUGGGCUUCCUUGAACCUAGAAACAAUGCUGCGUAUUCACUCAUGGAAGAAAGGUGAUGUGCAUAACAUCCAGAAGGGAACGUCGAUACAAGUACAAACGCAAUCCAAGUCGGAUCUGGGGUGCAUGGGAGGGAGAGAAGCUCACCAUGUAUGUCCGCCCGCUGGGAGGGGGAAGAAACCAUCAGCCGUUGGAGAGAUGCCUCGGGGCGAAGAACUCCUCCGCCCCCUCUAGCCGCCCACACGCUUGGUGAUAAGGUGUAUGUCCUUCUCGGCCUUGCUCUUCUUCAGAGCGAGACUGCAACACCACUAGAGAAACAACAAUAGCAGAUCAAAUUAGAACCCAACACGAAAUAGUAGCAGCAGCAAGAAAACCCAAGCAAAACCAUAAUCAUCAAAAUAAGUUCACAAACAUUCAACUGAUUUUAGAGCAUUUUGUAUAUGUCUACAUGGGCUGGACAACAUACACUUGUGUACAUAUCUCUCGAAUACAAUGUGGACAGAAUAAUAAUCCAAUCUACAUGCUACUAAUUAAGUAGUAGUUAUUUGAAAACUGUAUAGGAGGCAAGAAGAACAAGUCAAGCUUGGCAAUUACAUUUUUUGCAAGUUACUAUUAGCUACAUGAAAUAAGCAUGGCACCAGAUUCACUAAAUAGGUAAGCAUGCAAAACAAAGCAUUGUUAAAAUUUGAAUCAGGCACGUACUGUACAUAUCUAUGCAUAAUUCCCCAUAUAACAUCUAUGCAUAUAUCCCCAUAUAUCUUACUAAGAAAACUAGCAAUCAAUCAUCUCAAACAUGUCAUGUACAUAUCUAUGCAUAUAUCCCCAUACAACAGAACUACUACAACAUCUAAGCAUACAAAUUUUCGCUCCCAUCCAGCAUCAUGAAUCUUCUCAGCUGGUACUACCUACCAGGUUGGUGAGUCGGCUCCUUCAGCAGCCAUACAGUACUGGAGAAGCCCUUAUAAACUAAGAAAAUACAGAACCGAUUCUCAGCUACCACGACGCAGCCAAAUAAGUAGCCUACAGCUUCGCCCUCAUUUGCUUGCUGGAAAGUUCACUUUCAAAGUAACCUACAGCUUCGCUGUUUGAGUGAGGACAUGUUUGGUAGUUUAGCUCAACCUCUACUUGACUGGUUGCUUAAUCUGUUUGUUUAAGUUCCUCGGCAGGGUUCUGAACCGGCGAAUCGAGUAUAUGGCACUGGACGACUGGGCGUUGAUAUACAGGGGCGAUGUGGUGAAAUAGAUACAUAAGCUGUGCAGAGCUCCAUGCUGAAAGAGCUAUAAGCGAUGAUAUCUGGGGAUGGAAGGAAGCCACGUCAGUUAUACUUCAAUUCCUACCUAUGAAACACAAGUAACAGCCGUAUUUACUUCCUAAAUUUCAACUGGAAACCAGAGUUCUGAAGGUCAUAUCCUCUGCUCUACUUUUGAUAGAUAUAGGGAGAAAACAAUUCUAAUCAACCCAAACUGGUAAACACAGAAAGCCCACGUUUCUAACCUAAAUUAGAUUACAUAUGCAAUACCCAAUUCCUCUGUCCCGCGUACUACAAUCACAGGUUACAGAAGCCAAUGAUAAUAAUCUUAGGGCAUCGCAAAUUUUGGGGAAACGAGGACUGUUGACCAAAACCAGCCAACCAAAUCAAACUCGCCUAGAACACACUGAGAAGUUGCUACUGAUACUAUCGACCUAAUUACAUGCGCGUACGCGCGUACAACGCUGAAAUCCCCGUCCUCAAAUGGUCCUAGAAACAACCACCACAGAACCCGCGAAACCAGGGCGGAAUCCAGGCGAGGAACGACUACAAUAAGACGAUGCCGGAAGGAUCAGUGGGGGUUCGGUCGGGGCCUCACCUUGUCCUCCGACGGGCUCUCGCGGUGGGGUUCGGGGUUCGGGGGUUCUGUGAGUCCUUCGAGGCGAGCCGGGGGGCGUUGUGAGCCGGCUGCUCCUUUUGAUUUGGGCGGGGAAGAAGCGCGUGCUAUUUUGUGGUGCCGAGCCAGCCGUGGCAGCGGUGGUGACAGACGCAAAUGGUGAGAGAGUCCGGCGCCGGGGCGGGGGAGGACGACAUGGCGCUCUGCUAUGGCCUGGGCAAGUUGAGAGGGGAGGGGAGGGGGCGGAGAUUUGUUUGGUGGUGGCCACUGGGCUGGGGAUGGGGAGAGGCGGUGGCAGUGGUGGCUGAGCGAGAGGUGGCACUGUCGGAGGACAAGGCGAGGGAGGGAGAGAGGUCGACGGCGGAGAUGUGGGUGGGGCGAUGUGUGACCCGCCCUAGUUGGGCCGGGUCACCAAGUGGCCGACUCAUACUUUGGCGGUUCAAGCUUUGGCCCAGAAGACCCAGGAGCUGGAUGGCGGUUCAAGAUCUAUAUGGAGGAUAAGUCAUCAGGGAGUCUUCGAGCCUUGGAAAGCAC